rnacentral:rRNA from 1 species
AAUCAACGCUGGCGGCGUGCUUAACACAUGCAAGUCGAGCGGUAAGGCCCUUUCGGGGGUACACGAGCGGCGAACGGGUGAGUAACACGUGGGUGACCUGCCCUCAGCUCUGGGAUAAGCCUGGGAAACUGGGUCUAAUACCGGAUAUGACUCCAUGACGCAUGUUGUGGGGUGGAAAGCCUUGUGCGGCUGAGGAUGGGCCCGCGGCCUAUCAGCUUGUUGGUGGGGNGAUGGCCUACCAAGGCGACGACGGGUAGCCGGCCUGAGAGGGCGACCGGCCACACUGGGACUGAGACACGGCCCAGACUCCUACGGGAGGCAGCAGUGGGGAAUUUUGGACAAUGGGGCAACCCUGAUCCAGCCAUGCCGCGUGAGUGAAGAAGGCCUGGUGUAAG